AGUGAACGCUGGCGGUAGGCCUAACACAUGCAAGUCGAACGGCAGCACAGGAGAGCUUGCUCUCUGGGUGGCGAGUGGCGGACGGGUGAGGAAUACAUCGGAAUCUACCUUUUCGUGGGGGAUAACGUAGGGAAACUUACGCUAAUACCGCAUACGACCUUCGGGUGAAAGCAGGGGACCUUCGGGCCUUGCGCGGAUAGAUGAGCCGAUGUCGGAUUAGCUAGUUGGCGGGGUAAAGGCCCACCAAGGCGACGAUCCGUAGCUGGUCUGAGGGGAUGAUCAGCCACACUGGAACUGAGACACGGGCCAGACUCCUACGGGAGGCAGCAGUGGGGAAUAUUGGACAAUGGGCGCAAGCCUGAUCCAGCCAUACCGCGUGGGUGAAGAAGGCCUUCGGGUUGUAAAGCCCUUUUGUUGGGAAAGAAAAGCAGCCAGUUAAUACCUGGUUGUUCUGACGGUACCCAAAGAAUAAGCACCGGCUAACUUCGUGCCAGCAGCCGCGGUAA
rnacentral:rRNA from 1 species